AUACGUAGGGGGCGAGCGUUGUCCGGAAUGAUUGGGCGUAAAGGGCGCGUAGGCGGCCCGGUAAGUCUGGAGUGAAAGUCCUGUUUUUAAGAUGGGAAUUGCUUUGGAUACUGUCGGGCUUGAGUGCAGGAGAGGUAAGUGGAAUUCCCAGUGUAGCGGUGAAAUGCGUAGAGAUUGGGAGGAACACCAGUGGCGAAGGCGACUUACUGGACUGUAACUGACGCUAAGGCGCGAAAGUGUGGGGAGCAAACAGGAUUAGAUACCCUGGUAGUCCACACUGUAAACGAUGAAUGCUGGGUGUAGGGGGUAUCGACCCCUUCUGUGCCGCAGUCAACACAAUAAGCAUUCCGCCUGGGGAGUACGGCCGCAAGGUUGAAACUCAAAUGAAUUGACGGGG
rnacentral:rRNA from 1 species